rnacentral:rRNA from 1 species
CCUACGGGGGGCAGCAGUGGGGAAUAUUGGUCAAUGGGCGCAAGCCUGACCCAGCAACGCAGCGUGAAGGAUGAAGGCUUUCGGGUUUUAAACUUCUUUUGUCAUGGACGUAGCAAGUGACGGUACCUGACGAAUAAGCCACGGCUAACUACGUGCCAGCCGCCGCGGUAAUACGUAGGUGGCAAGCGUUAUCCGGAUUUAUUGGGUGUAAAGGGAGUGUAGGCGGGAAUGCAAGUCAGAUGUGAAAACUAGGGGCUCAACCCAUAGACUGCAUUUGAAACUGUAGUUCUUGAGUGCUGAAGAGGCUAUCGGAAUUCCGGGUGUAGCGGUGAAAUGCGUAGAUAUACGGAGGAACAUCAGUGGCGAAGGCGACUAUCUGGCACAUAACUGACGCUGAGGAGCGAAAGCGUGGGUAGCAAACAGGAUUAGAGACCCUAGUAGUC